rnacentral:rRNA from 1 species
GACGGAGGGGGCAAGCGUUGUCCGGAAUCAUUGGGCGUAAAGAGCGUGUAGGCGGCCCGGUAAGUCCGCUGUGAAAGUCGGGGGCUCAACCCUCGAAUGCCGGUGGAUACUGUCGGGCUAGAGUGCGGAAGAGGCGAGUGGAAUUCCUGGUGUAGCGGUGAAAUGCGCAGAUAUCAGGAGGAACACCAAUUGCGAAGGCAGCUCGCUGGGACGUAACUGACGCUGAGACGCGAAAGCGUGGGGAGCAAACAGG